rnacentral:lncRNA from 1 species
GGGGGACCUCCUUCCCCCACCUUCGCCCCGCCCCAUCCCUCCUGGAGGGUGCCCCAGUGACUUUGGGGAGCCCGGGGCUACUUCUGGUUUUUGGGGUGAGGGUCGGAGAGGGGCACGUGCCCUGAGCCUCCCCUGCCCUCGCAAAAUAGGAGGGGAGCAGAACUCCCACUGCUCGGCCCCUCCCACCUACCCCUCCUUCCCCCUGGCGUCCUCAGACUCAGAGGAGGGAGAGAGCCCUCCCCUCCGGGACCAUGUUUUCCAUUAACUGAGCUUGGGGGAGGGGGCGCUACAGCUCCCAGGCUCUCACCGGGGAGGGAUCGUUCUUGGGGGACCCCGCAGAGUUAACCCUCUCCUACCCGGGCAUGAGCCUGGCUACCCCCGAGGCAGCUCCCCCCUGGCAGGAGAAUGAAGGACGUGGGAGUCAUGGAAGAAGCCAUGCUAACCCUGCAGCACUCCCAAGACACUGGCAUGCAGCCCACAAGCCCCCGAUGGUGUCGCUGACCCCGUCUAACAAGCCUGAAGAUGCCGUGCAGGCUUCUUGGCAGUGGAAGGUGCUUUCUCUGAGGCUGUCAAAGACUCCUAUCUCUCUCCUUGGAAAAACCUUCCUAAGAUACAGAAUCACAGAACUUCAGAGCUGGAAGGGACCUCUGAAGCCAUCCAGUUCCCCCCUACCUGAACAGGAAGCCCCUCAAAGGCCAGUGGAUGUGACAAUUCAGCCACUGAUUGGUGAAACUUCCCAAGGCAGCCUAUACUCUUUUGCCAUAGCCAUAUAGUACAUCACCUUACAUUUUCCUCUCACUUUCUUGUACUCUCUGUUGUUUAUUCUGUCCUGUGGGGCCACACAGAUGUCUACUCCUUUGUUCCACACGCCUGCCUUUUAGAUACCGGAAGACAGUGACUAUGUUUCCCUAAGUCGGCUUUCUUCUAGGCUACAAAUCUCCCUUUCCCUCCUUUUCCUCACGCUCUUUGUGUCCUCUCACCAUCUUGGUUAUUUGAUUCAUCUUGUCAAUGACCUUCCCUAAAAUGGGAUGUCUAGAUGUAGUAGACACAGCACCCCAGAUGUGGUCAGAGCAGGAGACAACAGAACAUUCACCUCUCCCAUUCUGGACCCUUGGCUUCUCCUCCACUCUAAUUCACAGAAUUUUAGAGUUGGAAGGUCCAUAGAAACCACUCUGUAAUCCACUCUGUGUAAUCCACUCUGUGCAAUCCACUCUGUAAUCCACUCUGUGUAAUCCACUCUGUAGCUUACUGGGAAUCCCCUCAACAAUAUCAAUGCAAUUCAACAAGCAUUUAUUGAGUGCCUACCGAGUACCAGGCACUGUGUUAGGCUGGGAAUACAAAGACAGAAGUCAAAUAGUCUUUGUCUUCUGGGAGCUGACAUUCUAUCACGGAGACAACAUAUACAUAUUUAAAUAUAUGCAAAGUAAUAGGGGGCAGAAAAGGCAAUAGCAGCUGGGAGGGGUCAGGGUGAACAUGGAUCACUUAAGUUCAAAUACCUAGUGUCUGAGUGGGGAUUUGAACCCAGAUCUUGCUGACUUUUGGUCCAGUUCUCUAGUUGACUCUUGUUUCGAGGUCCCAAUCUGUCUCUGACUUCCUGAGGUCUCUUCCAACCUGAGGAAUUGGCUUCUGGCUUUGUAUGAGUUUGACACGUGUGUGUGUGUGUGUGUGUGUGUGUGUGUUAGUUAACCAAAACAGCUGCAUCAUUGUUUUCUCUUUUGUGGCUUCCCUGGGACGAUUCCAGUGACCUACCCUGCCUCCUGGGCAGGGCAAAAGAUGACCAGCUGACUGACUGGCUGAAGUUAGGCAUGGAAGGAAUUUGGAACAUCUCUGAGCCUGAUGGGAGGGUGUGUGCAGGGAUAUGGGGCAGAAACCAGAAGCAGUAGAAUUGGACUCUGAAACUCUCCUUCCCCUCCUCCCACCCCUCUUUAUCCACAGGAUCCCAGGCUCAGUCUGGACACACCCCAGAGAGCUUUGUUCAGACCUGACUCUGUUUGUUGAGAAUCUCACCCCUGCUCUGGUCAGGAUGCCUUCCCAGGACCUCAAAGCAUCCUCCAUUUCCAAGCAAAAACAAGUCUCCGAACCGAAGUCAGACCACGGUUCUAGCCCUUGUCACCUCUGUCCUGCACUAUGUGCAAUAAAUAGCCUCCCUGCCUCUGGUCUCUCUGCUCU